UAAUCUGCCCUGAGGUCUGACAUAACCCGUCGAAAGGCGGGCUAACAUCAGAUGAUAUAUAAUCACGACAUCGUGGAAAUAUCAAAUCUUCGGAGCCUUGGGAUGAGCCUGCGUCUGAUUAGGUAGUUGGCGGAGUAAUAGCCCACCAAGCCUACGAUCAGUAGCUGGUCUGAGAGGAUGAUCAGCCACACUGGAACUGAGACACGGUCCAGACUCCUACGGGAGGCAGCAGUAAGGAAUAUUGCUCAAUGGGGGAAACCCUGAAGCAGCAACGCCGCGCGAAGGAUGAAAUACUUUGUAUGUAAACUUCUGUAAGAUGGGAAAAAUAUUCUCCUCGGGAGAAUUGAUUGUACCAUCAGAGUAAGCCCCGGCUAACUACGUG
rnacentral:rRNA from 1 species